rnacentral:rRNA from 1 species
GACGAACGCUGGCGGCGUGCUUAACACAUGCAAGUCGAGCGGUAAGGCCCUUUCGGGGUACGACGAGCGGCGAACGGGUAGGAGUAACAACGUGGGUGGACCUCGCCCUCCAGCUCUGGGAGUAAAGACCUCGGGAAACCGGGGUACCGUAAUAACCGGACGUAUGACUCCACUGACGCAUGUUGUGGGGUGGGAAAGACCUU